AUGGGGCAGAAAGUUUCAGGGUAUGACAGCUAAAGGGUGUUUUUGAAGAAAAGAGUUUUUGAAGGAAAGAGAAAGUUCUAAAAUUUAUCAGGUGAUAGUUGCACAAUUUUGUGAAUAAACUAAAAACCACUGACUUGUACACUUUAAGUGAAUUGUAUGGUACAGGAAUUAUAUCUCAAUAAAGCUGUUACACUCACCCCACCCCGCCAAAAUUGAGAAAAGGAACAGAAACUCAUUUUAUUGAGAUGAGGAAACCAAGGCCCAAAAAGGUAUGGCAACUUGCCCAAGGAAACUCUGGUGCCUCAACUAGAACCUGGAUCUUCAACUUCCAACUGAGAGCUCUUUCCAACAGUGUUAUUACUACCAUGGGAGAAAUGAAGAUAUAGUAUCAAACACCAUAAUGCAAGUUAGGAGCAAAAACAGGACUUGAUUUAUCACGCUAUAUGUACCAGGGUUCACGGAGUUUUCUAGCAGCAGAGGAGAUAAUCACAAACUCAGCACCCUCCAGUAAAGUCAUUCUUACAAGAAGCCAGUGAAGAAUUCACAGGUGCCUGCCCACCCUUCACAAGCUGCCAAGAGAUGGACCUAACUCCUUAACACCAAUAAUUCCAAUACAAUUGUGAAAUCCUCAAGUUAUGGAGAAAAAGGAGCAUUUCUUUAAGAGCUUCAGAAUCAAGACAAAAAAAAUCCCUCUCCCAUCAAACUAGUGCAAACCUUACAAAGGAGGGCUAAGAAGCUAGCACUGGGGCCCCAUGGUGGGUCUGGAACUCCAUACACAUUUCCAGCCCUAUCAGAGUUGGUUAGAGAUGAAAUUAAAAGCCUUACUCUACUCCUGGCAAUGAGUAUGAGGAGGAAGCCCCUCACUGAUACAGCAGUUUAAGACCCAGAAGUCAACAGGGUUUUCUGGUCCUGAUUUGAUGUGAGCCAACAAUGAUGACAGUGAUGAAGACAGCUGCUAUCUACCCCAUUCAUUUCCACAUAAGAUAUGUAAUGGUAAGCACACAGUUUCCAAAAUCAGACAGAUAGGAUUUCCAACUCUGGCUGCAUAUACCAAGCAAUUAUGAUGUCUCAGAGUCCUGCUCCAUAAAAAGAAGAUACCUGUACUAUCAACCUCAGAGCUGUUGUGAGUAGCAAGUGUGAUAACACCAUGUGCUUAACACAGUGCAAAGGCACACAGUAAGAGCUCAAUUAACAAAGCUGUUAUUUCGCCAGAAUAUGUCCCCAUUUCUUUUAUGAUUCUCAGCAGUUAGGGCAGAGCCCUCCUGGAUGUGAUUAAUAUUCCUUCCUUAGGCCGGGCGCAGUGACUCAUGCCUAUAAUCCCAGCACUUUGGGAGGCUGAGGAGGGCGGAUCAGGAGGUCAGGAGUUUGAGAUCUGUCUGGCCAACAUAGUGACACCCAGUCUCCCUUAAAAAUACAAAAAAUUAGCCGGGCGCAGUGGCAGACACCUGUAAUCCCAGCUACUCAGGAGGCUGAGGCAGGAGAAUCAUGUGAACCUGGGAGGUGGAGGUUGCAGUGAGCGGAGAUGCCACCACUGCACUCCAGCCCGGGCAACAGUGCAAGACCCCGUCUGAAAAUAAAUAAAUAAAUAAAUAAAUAAAUUUUUUUAAAAAAAUGAAUGAAUAGCACUGACUUGGGAUCGGCUAUAUGCCAUCUCUGGGCAAUGGAAUACGAGAAAGUGUAAAUGCGCUUUCCCUUGCCCCUCUUUGGCCCACCAUAAGCAAGUCCACACUCAAGCAGCCACUGCUCUCUGGAACUAGGCUCCAGAAUGACAAACACAAAGCCCACCUGAGCCCAAUCUGAAGGCUAGAGACAAGUUCAGCUGACCCAUGAAUGAGAAAAAUAAAUGCUGUUUUAAUAAGCUACCGUUGGCAUGGUUCAAAUGCAACAUUAUUCUGGCAAGUGAAUAAAAUAAGGAAUUUUUUUUAAGGUGGAGGCACUUUGAAAAAAGACUCAUAGUAGUAA
rnacentral:lncRNA from 1 species